rnacentral:lncRNA from 1 species
CCUUCUCAGGAGUCUGGGGGUGCUGCUGACCAUCAGCUGCAGGGGAAAUUCCUAAAAUCUUACAUCACUCCAGCUGAAGAAAAUCUGCUUUGGACUUCAAUUUCCCUGGCUUUUUGACCUCAAUUUCCCUGGCUUUUUGACUUUAUAUUCCCCUGCAUUUUUGACCUUAUUCCUCUGCAUUUUUACCCUUAUUUCUCCUGGAUUUUUGCCCUUAUUCCCCUGCAUUUUUGACCUUAUUUCCCCUGGACUUCUGAUCUUAUUUCUCUGCAUUUUUGACUUUAUAUUCCCCUUUAUUUUUUAUCCUUAUUCCUCUUUAUUUUUACCCUUAUUCCCCUGUAUUUUUGACCAUAUUUUGCCCACGUUUUUACCCUUACUUCCUCUGGACUUUUUCCCUUAUUUCCCUUUUUUUUUACUUUAUUCCUCUGCAUUUUUACCCUUAUUUCUCCUGGAUUUUUGCCCUUAUUCCCCUGCAUUUUUGACCUUAUUUCCCCUGGACUUUUGACCUUAUUCUCGCCUGCAUUUUUGCCCUUAUUUCCCUGCAUUUUUGACCAUAUUUCCCCUGCGUUUUUACCCUUAUUUCCCCUGGACUUUUGCCCUUAUUUCUCUGCAUUUUUGACCAUAUUUCCCCUGGACUUUUGCCCUUAUUUCCCUGCAUUUUUGCCCUUAUUUCCCCUGGACUUUUUCCCUUAUUUCCCUGCAUUUUUGACCAUAUUUCCCCUGGACUUUUCCCCUUAUUCCCCCGCCUUUUCCCCCUCGUUCCCCUGCAUUUCUGACCUUCCCCCUCCACAUCUCCACGCUCCAUUUCCCCUCUCAGGUUCCUCCAGGAUCCCACCAGC